rnacentral:rRNA from 1 species
GAUGAACGCUGGCGGCGUGCCUAAUACAUGCAAGUCGAGCGAACGGACGAGCAUCUUGCUUCUCUGAUGUUAGCGGCGGACGGGUGAGUAACACGUGGAUAACCUACCUAUAAGACUGGGAUAACUUCGGGAAACCGGAGCUAAUACCGGAUAAUAUUUUGAACCGCAUGGUUCAAAAGUGAAAGACGGUCUUGCUGUCACUUAUAGAUGGAUCCGCGCUGCAUUAGCUAGUUGGUAAGGUAACGGCUUACCAAGGCAACGAUGCAUAGCCGACCUGAGAGGGUGAUCGGCCACACUGGAACUGAGACACGGUCCAGACUCCUACGGGAGGCAGCAGUAGGGAAUCUUCCGCAAUGGGCGAAAGCCUGACGGAGCAACGCCGCGUGAGUGAUGAAGGUCUUCGGAUCGUAAAACGCUGUUAUUAGGGAAGAACACAUGUGUAAGUAAAUGUGCACAGCUUGACGGUACCUAAUCAGAAAGCCACGGCUAACUACGUG